UACGGGGGGGGCAAGCGUUGUUCGGAAUUACUGGGCGUAAAGCGUGCGCAGGCGGUUUUGUAAGCCAGAUGUGAAAGCCCCGGGCUUAACCUGGGAAUGGCAUUUGGGACUGCAAGGCUGGAGUGUGGCAGAGGAGACUGGAAUUCCUGGUGUAGCAGUGAAAUGCGUAGAUAUCAGGAGGAAUACCGAUGGCGAAGGCAGGUCUCUGGGCUGACACUGACGCUCAUGCACGAAAGCGUGGGGAGCAAACAGG
rnacentral:rRNA from 1 species